GAAGUGAGGAGCGUCUCUGCCUGGCUGCCCAUCGUCUGGGAUGUGAGGAGCCCCUCUGCCUGGCUGCCCAGUCUGGAAAGUGAGGACAGUCUCUGCCCGGCCGCCAUCCCAUCUAGGAAGUGAGGAGCGUCUCUGCCCGGCAGCCCAUCGUCUGAGAUGUGGGGAGCGCCUCUGCCCCGCCGCCCCAUCUGGGAUGUGAGGAGCGCCUCGUCCCGGCCGCGACCCCGUCUGGGAGCCUCCCAGCGCCCAGGACCCCUGCCUGAGCAGUGAGAGGCCCUGAUUGAUGCCCAGGACAGCAAGCUUUCCCACCAGCACCAACCUCACCAUUUUCUUUCAGUAUUUGAGGACUGAAAAGAAGGCUUCAUAAUGAUGGG
rnacentral:lncRNA from 1 species